rnacentral:misc_RNA from 1 species
UAUUAUUUAAUGAAGGGUGAUAUAGCUGAUAUGGGUUUCAUUUUUUAUCAUCUCAACUGGUAAGGACCUGCGAGGCAAAGAGAUUGGGGUUGCCCCCGGUGACAAGCUCUGAAGCUCGAGAGGAUGGCAUUAUGGUAGACAAAGAAUAUUUGAGAGAGGAGAAAGAAGAGUCCAAAGAGAAUGAAAAAGAAGAAUUGAGGAAUAAGGAACUCAUUCCUUCCUGGCCCUAUUUACCAGAAGGCAUAUUUAUUAUAACUUCGACUUUAUAUGAAAAAGUCUAAUAGCUGAUAAGAAAAAUACUUAUAUCAGCAUUCAUAUAUUAAUUAUUUCAAUUAUAUAUGCACCUCAAUUGAUUCUGAAUGUAUUAAGUUUAUUAUUAGAUAAAAUUAUGUUAGAUGCACCUAGAAUAUAGUUAUCAAUGAGUUUUAAUAAAAUGUUG